rnacentral:misc_RNA from 1 species
UGGUUCUGGCAUCGAUGAAGAACGUAGCGAAAUGCGAUAAGUAGUGUGAAUUGCAGAAUUUAGUGAAUCAUCGAAUCUUUGAACGCACAUUGCGCCUAUUGGUAUUCCAAUAGGCACGCCUGUUCGAGCGUCAUUUAAAACUGUCAGGCUUGGUGUUCCUAUAGUCUAGGACGGCCAGGCACUGGUGUUGGGUGCAUUUUCGCGGAAACACCCUAAAUCUACUAUAGAGCUGGCACAGUUCUCCGAGCGUUGCAAGAAACUCGCUCCUGAGGGUGUGCCUAGAUCUAGCGUGACUAGAGCCGUUUGGCCCUAUAGUUUGACCUCGGAUCAGGCGGGGAUACCCGCUGA